GUCUAAUGAACUUAAAAUAAUUUUUUUUGUCUUUGAGCAAUCACUAUGCUGUUGAAUAUUAAUCCUCUCAAAAAAAUGGUUGAAGAAAUUUUCUUUUUAUUUAUGAAAUCUGAAAUGAGAAAAAUUAACCCCCCCCCCCCCCACCACCAUUUUUUUUUCACAUCCCCCUUUCCCUUUUUUCAAAACUGAUCUCAAUUCAAAUUUCUAAUGGAGUUUGAAACAAUAACUACUCAUUUAAAUACAUCAUAAAAUAUUAAAAUGUAACAAAAAGUGCUUGUUAUCACUGAAUGGUAAAGAGUGUUUUAAUUUAUCAGUUGGUAGUAAAAGUGAAUAUACA
rnacentral:lncRNA from 1 species